rnacentral:lncRNA from 1 species
GAUAUUCUUAAAUUAUUUACAAAAAAUGGUAAUAAAAUCAUGAUGUAUAAAAGAAAAAUUCCCUCAAAUUACAUCUAUACUAUUAAUUGGGGAUCAUUUUUAGUCUUUGUUGCCAAACAAACCUGAAAAAAAAAUAUUACAAAAAAUGUGAUUGCAAACCUAUUGCCAAACACAUUUAAAGACAGCAAAAAAAUAUAGUUAAAUAAAUAAAAAAAUACACCAAAAUUAUGAAUUAUCUAUAUUUAUGGAAACCAUAUUAAGUUUGUUACCAUAAAAAGUGGACAAUUAAAUUCAAAAUUAAACAUAUGUAAACAUAUUUAAUAUUAAUUAUAUACUUUCCAAAAUUUUUGAAAACACUAAAUAUAUAAUUAAUGAAAUGUAAUAAAAAUCAUCAUAUAUUUAAGGAUUUACGGAAAAUUUAUGGAAAAACAUUAUAUAAUGCUAAACUUAUAAAAAAUCAUUAUAUAAUAUUAAUUAUAUAAGUUUAUGAAAAAGAAAGAUGAUAGUUUAGGAAAAAAAUAAAAAUAAAAUAUUUUAGAUUAGGAAAUAAACGACUAAUCAAAUUUUGCAGAGCAUAAAAUAUGCAGAAAUAUACAACAUAUUUUAUCAUAUCAUAUUGAAAUCAUAAUAAUUAUAAAAAAAAACAAAAACAAAAACAAAAACUAUAUAUAUUUAUGGAAAUCAUAAUAAUCUUUUACCAUAAAAAGUGGACAAUUAAAUUCAAAAUUAAAUAUAUGUAAACAUAUAUAUUUUGAAUAUACAUAAAUAUAUUUAAUAUUUUAAUAUACUUUCGAAAUUAAUAAUUUAUAUAGAAUGAAAUCUAAUAAAACAAAAUCAUCAUAUGUAUAUCUUUUUUUUUGGUGUGACCAUCAUAUGUAUAUCUAAAAAUCUAUACUAUUAAUUGGGGAUCAUUUUUAGUGUUUGUAGCCAAACAAACCUGAAAAAAAAAUAUUAGAAAAAAUGUGAUUGCAAACCUAUUGCCAAACACAUUUAAAGACAGCAAAAAAUAUAGUUAAAUAAAUAAAAAUACACCAAAAUUAUGAAUUAUCUAUAUUUAUGGAAACCAUAUUAAGUUUGUUACCAUAAAAAGUGGACAAUUAAAUUCAAAAUUAAACAUAUGUAAACAUAUUUAAUAUUAAUUAUAUACUUUCCGAAAUUUUUGAAAACACUAAAUAUAUAAUUAAUGAAAUGUAAUAAAAAUCAUCAUAUAUUUAAGGAUUUACGGAAAAUUUAUGGAAAAACAUUAUAUAAUGCUAAACUUAUAAAAAAUCAUUAUAUAAUAUUAAUUAUAUAAGUUUAUGAAAAAGAAAGAUGAUAGUUUAGGAAAAAAAUAAAAAUAAAAUAUUUUAGAUUAGGAAAUAAACGACUAAUCAAAUUUUGCAGAGCAUAAAAUAUGCAGAAAUAUACAACAUAUUUUAUCAUAUCAUAUUGAAAUCAUAAUAAUUAUAAAAAAAACAAAAACAAAAACAAAAACUAUAUAUAUUUAUGGAAAUCAUAAUAAUCUUUUACCAUAAAAAGUGGACAAUUAAAUUCAAAAUUAAAUAUAUGUAAACAUAUAUAUUUUGAAUAUACAUAAAUAUAUUUAAUAUUUUAAUAUACUUUUGAAAUUAAUAAUAUAUAUAUAAUGAAAUCUAAUAAAACAAAAUCAUCAUAUGUAUAUCUUUUUUUUGGUGUGACCAUCAUAUGUAUAUCUAAAAAAACAAAGAUAACAUUUUUUUUAGAAAAAUCAAAAGAUAAAAAAUAUGUUAGCAUAUGAAAUAAUCAACUAAUCAAAUUCUACAUAGUAUAUAUACAUAACUGAUCAUAUCAUCAAAUUUUAAAAAAUUAUACAAUUUUAAAAUAUAAAUAAAAUUUAAAUAAAUCAAUAAUUAAAUAUUUGUUUGCUAAAAUCAUACGAAUAAACAUUCUAGAUCACAUAAAUUUCUUAUUUUCACAUUAAAAAAAUAUUCAUAUUCAAAAAGCAAUCUAGCAAUUAUAGCACAAAAGAUAUCUACAAAAUUUAUCAUUAAUUCAAUUAGUUAAUGAUUUUUUAUUUGGUCAGUUAGUUAAUGAUUAUUCUAAACUUCUUUUUUCUUAUUAAUUUCACACAAUCUUAACAAAAUAUAUCUUCAUCCAUGGAAAUUUACAUAUCAUUACUAUUAUCAAAUAUUAAAUAAUUUCUUUAUCAAAUCAUAAACUACAUUUUGAGAUUAUAAACAUAUAGAAUCUAUACUAUUAAUUGGGGAUCAUUUUUAGUCUUUGUUGCCAAACAAACCUAGAAAAAAAUAUUAACAAAAAUGUGAUUGCAAACCUAUUGCCAAACACAUUUAAAGACAGCAAAAAAUAUAGUUAAAUAAAUAAAAAAUACACCAAAAUUAUGAAUUAUCUAUAUUUAUGGAAACCAUAUUAAGUUUGUUACCAUAAAAAGUGGACAAUUAAAUUCAAAAUUAAACAUAUGUAAACAUAUUUAAUAUUAAUUAUAUACUUUCCAAAAUUUUUGAAAACACUAAAUAUAUAAUUAAUGAAAUGUAAUAAAAAUCAUCAUAUAUUUAAGGAUUUACGGAAAAUUUAUGGAAAAACAUUAUAUAAUGCUAAACUUAUAAAAAAUCAUUAUAUAAUAUUAAUUAUAUAAGUUUAUGAAAAAGAAAGAUGAUAGUUUAGGAAAAAAAUAAAAAUAAAAUAUUUUAGAUUAGGAAAUAAACGACUAAUCAAAUUUUGUAGAGCAUAAAAUAUGCAGAAAUAUACAACAUAUUUUAUCAUAUCAUAUUAAAAUCAUAAUAAUUAUAAGAAAAAAAACAAAAACAGAAACAAAAACUAUCUAUAUUUAUGGAAAUCAUAAUAAUCUUUUACCAUAAAAAGUGGACAAUUAAAUUCAAAAUUAAAUAUAUGUAAACAUAUAUAUUUUGAAUAUACAUAAAUAUAUUUAAUAUUUUAAUAUACUUUCGAAAUUAAUAAUUUAUAUAGAAUGAAAUCUAAUAAAACAAAAUCAUCAUAUGUAUAUCUUUUUUUUUGGUGUGACCAUCAUAUGUAUAUCUAAAAAACAAAGAUAACAUUUUUUUUANNNNNNNNNNNNNNNNNNNNNNNNNNNNNNNNNNNNNNNNNNNNNNNNNNNNNNNNNNNNNNNNNNNNNNNNNNNNNNNNNNNNNNNNNNNNNNNNNNNNAUAUAAUGUCGUACUAGAAAUAAAAGUCAACCAUAAAUGUGGAGAAACAAACCGUAAAAAUAUGUCAUAUUAAUUAUAAAAAUAUUGAUCGAUUCUAUAAUUUAGGAAACUAACUAAUUAGUGUAGAUUCAUCAGUGAAAAUUUUCAUUUAUUAAAAUCUUAACAAUAAAAUCUAAAUCAAUCUAUAUUAAAUCUACAUAUUGAAAUANNNNNNNNNNNNNNNNNNNNNNNNNNNNNNNNNNNNNNNNNNNNNNNNNNNNNNNNNNNNNNNNNNNNNNNNNNNNNNNNNNNNNNNNNNNNNNNNNNNNACAUAUAUUAUAUCUAUAGUAUGAUAGUUAUAAAGCCACCUCUGUACAUUCAAUGUAUUAUACAGAUAGAGGAAUACCGAGAGUUGAACAUAGCAUUAUAUACUUUGACAUAUUUCUUUUUGCAUAUAAGUGAAUUACGAUUAAGAUCUAAACCAUUAAAAAAUAUUAUAAUCCACGGGUUAAUUGGACGGGUUAAGCAUAUAAAUUUUUUUAUAUAAUUUUUAUAAAUAUAUUUUUUAUUAUAUGUUAAGAAAUAUAACUAUUUCUAAGUUAUGUUUUAAAACUUAGGAGAUUUAAUUAUUGAACCAGUAUCAACAUGUCUGUUUUGGUUAUCCAAUUCACGAGUUUGAUAGAAAUCUAACUGAUCAGUCUAAGCUAAGUUUCAAAAUAUGAGUGAAAUCAUAAAUAUAUUAAACAGUCAUAAAGUGAACCUAAACCAAACCAGUAUAAAUUUUGAUUUUGUAAGUUAUACCAAAUAAAUAUCUACAACAUUAUCCACCAUAUGGGUGUAGUUCCGAACUAUUCUUGAUAAACUAUGGUACAUAAAUUUUAGAUAAAAUAAUUGAAUAAAAAAGUUGGUAGUGAUAUUUAAUUUGUAAAAAUAAAAAUAUCUAAAUUUUUCUAAUAAAAAAAAGGACUAGGAAAAAAAGUAACGAGACAAAUUCACUAAUUUGGAUAGUUAAAUUCAAUUUUGACUUUCAAAUAUCAAUUUACAAGUACAAUACAGAAACAUGAAAUUUAAAUAGCUAAAAUUUCCUAUUUAUUUUAAAUAUUGAAACAUGAAAUAAUGGGUACAUGAAGAGCGCGGGUAAUUCGGAAAAAAAAAAAAAAUAGUAUCUAAUGUAAUGCUGGUAAAAUACGAGGCAGAAAUUUUGGAUAACACAAAUUCAACUAAGUGAGAUACAUAUAUACUAUUUACUCAUGCGAAUUUCGAAGAACGGGUUUUUGCGGGUUAAAAUAUUGUAGUUCGUUGCAGGCUAGACAUAUUGGACGAGUUUGACUCGCUUGACAACUAUAUUUAGGUCAUUUGUUUCAAGAAGUUUUAGUGUUUUAUGUUGUUUUUACCUGGUUUGAUAGUUCACGAUUUACAUAGAAAUUUAGAUUAUCACUAAUCCGGUUUACACUUUCUCCGGGUCCGCUAUCAUGUCGAUCUAAAGCGAUUAUUAUUUCAUACAUUCAAAAAUUUGAAGAAAACAAAGCAAACGUAUUUGUGGCUCCGAAACUAUUACCUAUUCUUUUAUAUGUUAGACUAAAAUAUAUAAUCUCAAAUGAUUUUUAAAACCAUGAUUAUAAGAUGGAAAACAUGAUAUAGAUGGGACAUUACGGUUAUGAAAUAGUCACUUUUUGUGACUUUUUUUUUUACUAAUUUUCUUUUAUGUAAUGUUCUUAACUUAACAAAAACAAAUCUGAUAAUUUUUUUAUCUAAAUCGAAUUAAAAACGACAUGAAACUGAUACAAAUUCUUCUGAUUAUGAAUUAAAUAACAUUACUUAAAAAUACGUUUACAAACUUUAUCUUGCACAUAUGUAAUAUAUUGAAAUCAACCCUGCACGCACGUAUGUAAUACAAACUUUUGAAAUUAACCCCGCACGUAUGUGCGGGUCCAUCCCUAGUACACUUCAUAUGGAGCUCUAAUAAAAAGGUUGAAUAAAAAGACCAAUCAUAAUGAAAUAAAAUUAUCUAGAGAUGUGUGUAUAAAGACAACAAAAAGGACAUUGUAUAUUGAUUGUCUGAAGAAGUUU